rnacentral:rRNA from 1 species
UACGGUGGGGGCAAGCGUUGUUCGGAAUUACUGGGCGUAAAGGGCUCGUAGGCGGCCAACUAAGUCAGACGUGAAAUCCCUAGGCUCAACCUAGGAACUGCGUCUGAUACUGGAUGGCUUGAAUCCGGGAGAGGGAUGCAGAAUUCCAGGUGUAGCGGUGAAAUGCGUAGAUAUCUGGAGGAAUACCGGUGGCGAAGGCGGCAUCCUGGACCGGCAUUGACGCUGAGGAGCGAAAGCCAGGGGAGCAAACGGG